rnacentral:rRNA from 1 species
CAGUAGCGUAUAUUAAAGUUGUUGCAGUUAAAAUGCUCGUAGUUGAAGUUCGGAUGCAGCAGAGCUUGGAAACGCUGUUAUGGUGCUUCCGUUGCUUUUGCUUGUCCACAGUGUGUUGCAAGUACGUAUGUGCUUGUGCGUGCAUUUUACUUUGAGAAACAUAGGGUGUUCCACGCAUGUUACGGCAUGAAUAUUCCAGCAUGGGAUAAUCUGGUACGACUUCCAAUCUGCCAUUUUGGUUCGUAGGUUGGAAGUAAUGAUUAAUAGGGACUGUCGGGGGCAUUGGUAUUUGACUGUCAGAGGUGAAAUUCUUAGAUUCGUUGAGGACCAACCACUGCGAAAGCAUUUGUCAAGGAUGUCUCCAUUA